UGUGAACGCUGGCGGUAGGCCUAACACAUGCAAGUCGAACGGCAGCACAGUAAGAGCUUGCUCUUACUGGUGGCGAGUGGCGGACGGGUGAGGAAUACAUCGGAAUCUACUUUUUCGUGGGGGAUAACGUAGGGAAACUUACGCUAAUACCGCAUACGACCUACGGUUGAAAGCAGGUGAUCUUCGGACCUUGCGCGAUUGAAUGAGCCGAUGUCGGAUUAGCUAGUUGGCGGGGUAAAGGCCCACCAAGGCGACGAUCCGUAGCUUGUCUGAGAGGAUGAUCAGCCACAUUGGAACUGAGACACGGUCAAGACUCCUAAGGGAGGCAGCAGUGGGGAAUAUUGGACAAUGGGGGCAAGCAUGAUCCAGCCAUACAGAGUGGGUGAAGAAGGCCUUCGGGUUGUAAAGCCCUUUUGUUGGGAAAGAAAAGCAGCAGGUUAAUAACCAGCUGUUCUGACGGUACCCAAAGAAUAAGCACCGGCUAACUUCGUG
rnacentral:rRNA from 1 species